rnacentral:rRNA from 1 species
CACACUGUAAACGAUGAUUACUCGAUGUUGGCGAUACACAGCCAGCGUCUUAGCGAAAGCGAUAAGUAAUCCACCUGGGGAGUACGCCCGCAAGGGUGAAACUCAAAGGAAUUGACGGGG